rnacentral:rRNA from 1 species
UACGAAGGGGGCUAGCGCUGCUCGGAAUUACUGGGCGUAAAGCGCACGUAGGCGGCUUUCUAAGUCGGGGGUGAAAUCCUGGAGCUCAACUCCAGAACUGCCUUCGAUACUGGAAAGCUGCGAGUCCGGGAGAGGUGAGUGGAACUGCGAGUGUAGAGGUGAAAUUCGUAGAUAUUCGCAAGAACACCAGUGGCGAAGGCGGCUCACUGGCCCGGGUACUGACGCUGAGGUGACGAAAGGCGUGGGGAGCAAACAGG